GAUUAUGGCUACAGGACGAACGCUGGCGGCGUGCUUAACACAUGCAAGUCGAGCGAUGAAGCUUCUCGGAAGUGGAUAGCGGCGGACGGGUGAGUAACACGUGGGUAACCUGCCUCAUAGAGGGGAAUAGCCUUCCGAAAGGAAGAUUAAUACCGCAUAAGAUUGUAAUAUCGCAUGAUAUAGCAAUUAAAGGAGUAAUCCGCUAUGAGAUGGACCCGCGUCGCAUUAGCUAGUUGGUGAGGUAACGGCUCACCAAGGCGACGAUGCGUAGCCGACCUGAGAGGGUGAUCGGCCACAUUGGGACUGAGACACGGCCCAGACUCCUACGGGAGGCAGCAGUGGGGAAUAUUGCACAAGUGGGGGAAACCCUGAUGCAAGCAACGCCGCGUGAGUGAUGACGGUCUUCGGAUUGUAAAGCUCUGUCUUCAGGGACGAUAAUGACGGUACCUGAGGAGGAAGCCACGGCUAACUACGUGCCAGCCGCGGC
rnacentral:rRNA from 1 species